rnacentral:rRNA from 1 species
AAGUCGUAACAAGGUUUCCGUAGGUGAACCUGCGGAAGGAUCAUUCAUAAUAAGUGUUUUAUGGCACUUUUUAAAUCCAUAUCCACCUUGUGUGCAAUGUCAGUCGGUCUUCUUUAUGGAGAUCGGCCAAACAUCAACCUAAUUUUUUAACUCUUUGUCUGAAAAAUAUUAUGAAUAAAAUAAUUCAAAAUACAACUUUCAACAACGGAUCUCUUGGCUCUCGCAUCGAUGAAGAACGCAGCGAAAUGCGAUACGUAAUGUGAAUUGCAGAAUUCAGUGAAUCAUCGAAUCUUUGAACGCAUAUUGCGCUCUUUGGUAUUCCGAAGAGCAUGCUUGUUUGAGUAUCAGUAAACACCUCAAAACUUUUUUUUAUUUUUGAAAAACAGUUUUGGACUUGAGCAAUCCCAACACCAAUCUUUUUUAGAUCGGUGGCGGGUUGCUUGAAAUGCAGGUGCAGCUGGACAUUCUCCUGAGCUAAAAGCAUAUUUAUUUAGUCCCGUCAAACGGAUUAUUACUUUUGCUGCAGCUAAUAUAAAGGGAGUUUGACCGUUUUGGCUGACUGAUGCAGGAUUUCACAAGGGUCGGAAACGAUUCUUGUAAAACUCGAUCUCAAAUCAAGUAAGACUACCCGCUGAACUUA